rnacentral:rRNA from 1 species
AAUUCUUAGCAGUGUAUCACUCGGCUUGUGCAUCGGUGAAGAACGCAGCUAGCUGCCAGAACUAAUGUGAAUUGCAGGACACGUUGUUCAUCAACACUUCGAACGCACCUUGUGGCCCUGGCUAUGCCUGUCUGAGGGUCA